rnacentral:lncRNA from 1 species
ACGUAAUUUUUAUGCCCCACCUACGAUAGUAGAGGGGCAUUAUGUUUUCUGGUCUGUGCGUCCGUUCGUCCGUCCGUUCGUUCGUCCGUUCGUCCGUCUGUCCCGCUUCAGGUUAAAGUUUUUGGUCGAGGUAGUUUUUGAUGAAGUUGAAGUCCAAUCGACUUCAAACUUGGUACACAUGUUCCCUAUGAUAUGAUCUUUCUAAUUUUAAUGCCAAAUUAGAGAUUUUACCCCAAUUUCACGGUCCACUGAACAUAGAAAAUGAUAGUGCGAGUGGGGCAUUCGUGUACUCCCGCUUCAGGUUAAAGUUUUUGGUCGAGGUAGUUUUUGAUGAAGUUGAAGUCUAAUCGACUUCAAACUUGGUACACAUGUUCCCUAUGAUAUGAUCUUUCUAAUUUUAAUGCCAAAUUAGAGAUUUUACCCCAAUUUCACGGUCCACUGAAAAUAGAAAAUGAUAGUGCGAGUGGGGCAUUCGUGUACUGAGG